GACGAACGCUGGCGGCGUGCUUAACACAUGCAAGUCGAGCGGUAAGGCCCUUUCGGGGGUACACGAGCGGCGAACGGGUGAGUAACACGUGGGUGACCUGCCCUCAGCUCUGGGAUAAGCCUGGGAAACCGGGUCUAAUACUGGAUAUGACUCCAUGACGCAUGUUGUGGGGUGGAAAGCCUUGUGCGGCUGAGGAUGGGCCCGCGGCCCAUCAGCUUGUUGGUGGGGUGANGGCCUACCAAGGCGACGACGGGUAGCCGGCCUGAGAGGGCGACCGGCCACACUGGGACUGAGACACGGCCCAGACUCCUACGGGAGGCAGCAGUGGGGAAUCUUGCGCAAUGGGCGAAAGCCUGACGCAGCGACGCCGCGUGAGGGAUGACGGCC
rnacentral:rRNA from 1 species